rnacentral:rRNA from 1 species
UGAGGAAUAUUGGUCAAUGGGCGAGAGCCUGAACCAGCCAAGUAGCGUGCAGGAUGACGGCCCUAUGGGUUGUAAACUGCUUUUAUAUGGGAAUAAAGUGAGGGACGUGUCCCUUAUUGCAUGUACCAUAUGAAUAAGGACCGGCUAAUUCCGUGCCAGCAGCCGCGGUAAUACGGAAGGUUCGGGCGUUAUCCGCAUUUAUUGGGUUUAAAGGGAGCGUAGGCCGUUUGGUAAGCGUGUUGUGAAAUGUAGGAGCUCAACUUCUAGAUUGCAGCGCGAACUGUCAGACUUGAGUGCGCACAACGUAGGCGGAAUUCAUGGUGUAGCGGUGAAAUGCUUAGAUAUCAUGAAGAACUCCGAUUGCGAAGGCAGCUUACGGGAGCGCAACUGACGCUGAAGCUCGAAGGUGCGGGUAUCGAACAGG